UAGGGAAUCUUGCACAAUAGACGAAAGUCUGAUGCAGCAACGCCGCGUGUGCGAAGAAGGCCUUCGGGUUGUAAAGCACUUUUCUGAGGGAAGAGAAAGGACGGUACCUCAGGAAUAAGUCUCGGCUAACUACGUGCCAGCAGCCGCGGUAAUACGUAGGAGGCAAGCGUUAUCCGGAUUUAUUGGGCGUAAAGGGCGUGCAGGUGGUUUGGUAAGUUGGGUAUGAAAUCUCCUGGCUUAACUAGGAGAGGUUGCUCAAAACUACCAGACUAGAGGACGGUAGAGGGAGGUGGAAUUCCCGGUGUAGUAGUGAAAUGCGUAGAUAUCGGGAGGAACACCAGUGGCGAAGGCGGCCUCCUGGGCCGUUCCUGACACUAAGACGCGAAAGCAUGGGGAGCGAACG
rnacentral:rRNA from 1 species